rnacentral:lncRNA from 1 species
UAGAGAGCAGGGGGCAAUUGACCUCGAUCUGGCAGGCAUGGAGGGCGUCCUGGUGAGCGCGGCGACCGGAGCGAUGAACUCCGUCCUCGCAAAGCUCGCGGCCUUCCUCGGCGACGAGUACAAGCACGCCAAGGGAGUCCGCGACGACCUCGCCUUCCUCCAGUCCGAGCUCACCACCAUGAACAAGGCGCUGCACGCGCUGGCAGAUGCGGAUCAGCUCGACGAGCUCAGCAAGGACUGGAGGGACAGGGUGCGGGAUCUCGCCUACGACAUCGAGGACUGCAUCGACCUCUCCGUCCACCGCCUCCAUGGCGCCGGCGAAAGCGGCCUCGCCGCCAAGAUGGCGCGCAUGGCCAAGAAGAUCGGAGCGUUCCGUCAGAUCGCGAGCCAGAUCCAGCAGCUCAAGGCCCGUGUCUUGGAGGUCAGCGAGCGGCGUAACAGGUACACUCUCCAUGGACUUGUACCAACCAGCUCGGAUGCUUCCUCCUCGACGACCAAGGUUGAUGCCCGGCUGUGCGCGCUCUGGACGGAGACGAAGCACCUCGUCGGCAUCGAUGGCCCCAGGGAUGACAUCAUCAGCCGCUUGGAGCAGGAGUCGUCGUCAGCGGCAGCGCAGCAUGAUGUCAGGAUGGUAUCCAUUGUUGGAUGUGCAGGCUUGGGCAAGACCACUCUCGCUAAACAAGUGUACGACAAAAUCAAGGCGGAAUUCGAGUACAAGGCCUUUGUUUCGGUGUCUCAGAGACCGAAUAUAAAGGAGCUUCUACUCAACAUUUCUACUCAAGUUGGCAAGUCAACAAACACUUGGGAUGAUGUAGCAAAUCUCGUGGAUAAUCUUAGGGAGCAUCUCAAACAAAAAAGGUAUAUUAUCGUAGUGGAUGAUAUAUGGAGCCCGGAACCAUGGAACUUCAUUGGAGAAGCAUUGGUCAAAACUAGUCAUGGUAGCAUAAUAAUUUUGACGACACGUGUGAAAGAAGUGGCAAUAUCAUCUUCAUCUUCUCAUGGUGGUUUUGUUUAUCAAAUGAAACAUCUUGAUGGCGCUCACUCCAAAAGGUUAUUUUACAAAAGAAUUUUUGACUGUGAAGAGAAAUGUCCUCCUAAAUUUGAGCUAGCUUCUGAAGAGAUACUGAAAAGGUGUGAUGGUAUACCUCUAGCAAUUAUUUCCAUAUCCAGCUUCUUGGCUGAUCAUGAAUCGUUAUAUCAUUGGAAUGAGGUGAAAAAAAUUAUCAGUUCUCCACUACCAGGAAAUGAGUAUCUCGAGACCAUGCAGUCAGUGUUAGCACUCAGUUAUUAUAAUCUUCCACAUGAUAUAAGAAGUUGCCUGUUAUACUUGAGUGCAUUUCCAGAAGAUUGUGAAAUUGCAAAGAGUAGUUUGGUAAGUAGAUGGAUUGCAGAAGGAUUUAUCAAUGCAAGGCCAGGAGAAAAUGUAUAUGAAGCAGGGUUGAGGUAUUUCAACGUGCUGAUAAACCGAAGCUUGAUCCAACCAUGGAAUGAGCACUACGGUGAAGUGCUGACCUGUCGAGUUCACGACGUCAUUCUUAAUUUCAUAGUGUCCAAAUCAGUAGAGGAGAACUUUUUGUUCUUAUUGGAUCCGUCUGGUCUCGUACCUCUGCAGCAUAGCAACUACUGCAAGGUUCGUCGCCUGUCUCUCCAGGGUAACUACUGCCAAGAGGAGUUUGCCUCAAGGAUGAUGCCGAUUAAGCUUCAUGUUAGAUCACUUAUUUGUUCCGUGGACUACACAGGAUUCCAUCCUCUAUCAGAAUUUAAAGUUGCAAGAGUACUGGAUCUAGACGGGUGCCAAUCAUUGACAAACAACCAUCUUGCUAAUAUUGAAAAGUUAGUCCAUUUGCAGUAUCUGAGAAUUAGGGGAAGAGUGACUGUGCUCCCUGCCAAUAUUGGACGUCUCCAGCAUUUGGAAACAUUAGAUAUAAGAGGUAGUGAAGUUAAAGAAUUACCACCAUCCAUUGUUCUACUUCAGCGGUUGGCUCGCCUUUCUGUCAGUCAAGAUGUGAAGUUCCCAGCAGAAGGUGUUAGCAAGAUGCAAGCAUUGGAGGAGCUCACAGGUCUCACGCUCUUCUGUCAACCAGGAAGCUUUUUGAAGGAGCUAGGUGAGCUUACCAAGCUGAGAGUACUAGUUGUAUAUUGGAAGGCUUACCAUGCUAGAGAUUCUGAUGAGGCCCAAGCCGAGCAUAAAAAGAGCUGCAAGAAGAUUUUCACCUCCUCACUUAAUGCACUGGACAGGCAUAGCCUCCAUUCUCUGGAUUUUGUUGUGUUUAUGGAACGCUUCUUGUUUGAUCCGUGGUUCCUUGCCCUACAAAACCUCAAGAGAUUCGGCGUCGAAAGCACGCCCCGGAUGAUAAACAUUCCAAGUUGGAUUCGCCUUGCUGCCAAGCUUGAGAAAUUAGAGCUCAGUAAAGCAUAUGUUACUCAGAACGAUUUCGAAAUGCUUGGAGACCUGAAAGCUCUCGAGUAUCUUGCCCUUCCUUGUUCAGACACACGAGGAUCAUGGCUCACCAUCAGCAACCAUGGUUUCCGAUGUCUCAAGUUUGCGUUUCUUUGCAACGUGUUGUUUAUGCCUGAUUCCAUGCCUAAUCUGAAGGACCUCCGAAUUGACAUAGUAUUGGAUGAGGUUGGUGAGAACGAUUCUGUCUUCGAGCACCUCCCCAGCACCCUCUGCAGAGUCAAUGUAGAUAUUAUUGGCAAUCCACCUUCAACUCCAAGAGAUGUGGCCUCAGAAUUGGAAGAAAAAAUCUUGAACGUAGCAAAGACACAUCCCAACCGUCCGACGCUCACGACCCGAACACUCGAUAGGGACAUUUUGGUGGAUUGAAGGGGAUUUAUUUCACACCUAUUGUGGUGUGGAAUUAUUCCUCUUUAAACCCUUUCAGACCCCUUCCAUACCGAACAAGGCCUAAGGGGGACUAGAGGUGGAGCAACGAAAAGCAGGAGCCUUAGUGAGCAGCAGGUAAUUAACUUGCUCCUUCCUUCUAAGUGAUAAUUUUUUGCCAGAUAGUAUAAUUUGCCAGAUAGUAUAAUUUGCCAGAUAGUAUAUCAGGUAAUCCAUCUUGUCAUGGAAGAUCUAGACCUUAGAAGAUCGGCCUUUAGGCCCCCUUGAUUGUUCUAUUUUGUUUUUGGACUUGAAAUCCCAUUUCUGGGAUUGUAAACUUUUUCUUUUUUCCCCUUAAUUAAAUUCCGGCAGAUCUUCUGCCGUUGUUCCUUUAAAAAAAAAUAGUUUGCUCACCAGCUUGCUCCUUUUAUUUACCCUUUUCCAUUAGCGCU